UCAAAUUUCGGCCCUUCUUGUUGUGCAAGGUUAUGUUUGUCGCUUCCAUCGCUCUGUGCUGUUUACAAAUAUAACGCCGCUUGCAUAAUGGAUGGUUGUAAAAUGGGUUUGUUUUAAUUUGUGGGCGACAAUUGUUUUAGUGCGUGUGUGCUUUUUGUCUGCAGGAUCGGGUACUUUCCGGGGGAAUUGAAGAGCGUACGUUUGGUGCAAAGUUUGAUUGAAUUGUAGCGAGUGAAAGUGACGUUGAAAUAUGAAGCUUGUAACGGACGCCAGCUGUGAUUCGCUGGAACCGGUGCGAAUAGCAAUACGGGAGCGCCCAGCUGGGGGCAAAUGUGCCGAGAGUAUCAUCACGCACCACAGUGCAAACGAUCAGAUAUUGAUCGUGGACGAACGGCCGUUUGCGUUCGAUUACGUUUUUAGGCCAGGCUCGACCCAAGCGUCGGUUUACGAUGCACUGAUUCGGCCGCUGGUCGUGAAAAUGAUCAAUGGGUUUUACUGCACGGCACUGGCCUAUGGUCAAACGGGAACGGGAAAAACAUUCACUAUGGGCCUCCAGUGGGAUCACAGUGGGCCCCAUGAUAUUAACCGCGGGAUGAUUACCCGAGCGUUGGAUCAAACGUUUGACUUGCUGGAAGAAUCACGCAACAAAGAGGAUUAUGAGAUUCAGGUUUCCUUUAUAGAAAUUUACAAUGAAAAGAUCUACGACUUGCUGUCGGAGAAUUCGACUGAACCGGUGAAUACCCGCGGUUGCAAGUUCAACGGGGGAACGAAGAGACUGGUCACUCGUGCCGGUCAGGCUCAGGAUAUAUUGAUCGAGGGCAACAAGAAUCGGCACGUGCGGCCAACGAAGAUGAAUACGCUGAGCUCACGAUCUCAUGCGAUCUUUAGCAUUCAUGCUUCCGUCGUUCAUGACGACGUAAAGAUCGUCUCAGCGCUUCAUUUGGUGGAUUUGGCCGGAUCGGAAGGUGUCCGGAGAACCGGUCACCAAGGUGUUGCCAUGACGGAGGGUGUCCACAUCAACCAGGGACUGCUGAGCAUCGGGAAAGUGCUGCAGGCUCUCUCGAUCGGUAGCAAAGUUAUUCCGUACCGGGAUAGUGUUCUCAGUGCCGUUCUCCAGGAUUCGCUGAAUUCCAACUCCUACCUAACGCUGCUAGCGUGCGUCAGUCCAGCGCAGGAAGAUCUCAGCGAGACCCUUUCGACAAUCCGAUUUGCCCAGGGGGCGAAGACGCUGAAGAAUAAUCCGCAAAUCAAUGCAAUUACGGCGGAAUUGAAGGCAAAGGAACGCACUCGCACCCCGGGAAAAAGCUACGUCCCCGGCGCAAGUGCACUGAAAGCUCGCAAUCUUAAUCCCAAAACACCGAAAUCCGCGGCGAAACGACCACGCAUUCCUGAUGGAUCAUCAGCCAAGAAGGUCCACAGCAACACCUUCUGUACUCCGAGCAAAAUCCGUAAGCUGGACUAUGGCAAGCUGAAUUCAACGGUGGCACCGGUUCCGCUGAAUAAAGCACCACCGAACACCACCGACGCACCAUUGCUCCCACCAGGAGCACCCGCUGAAAAGUCGGCCGUGAUUAUUGCUCCACCUACCAAGGCGGCUCUUCAGAGUGCACAGUUGAUGAUGCCACCACCGCCGGUUUUCCCUCGUUUUAGCGAUGUGACGGAGCGAGAUUUCGAAUGCAUUCCGGCCGAUUCGAGAUCUUCGAUGUUCAGCCUGAAUUUAUCCAGCUCGACCUCGGUGGAUCAACCGGCCUCGACCUCGUCCAGCGUGGUUUCACAGAGUAGCACUUACAGUCCCAUCGUGAAGAAAUGUAUGGAAACGUUCGAAGCUACAAUCGAGCAGAAGCUGGCGCAAAUGUUCGAGAGAAUUCAACACAUGCAACAACCGGUGAUGGCACCACCUACUCCGUCCCUGGCGCUGCCAGUUGUACCCAAAACUAAUAGCUUCACCUCGGAUGACCCUGUUGUGGUUGAUUGCAGUAUUCAGCCGGACAGUAGCAGUAUUCAGGCAUCAGCUACUCCAGCCGCAACCACCAUCGCACCCAUCGACGCUGGAUCUAUCCCGUGGGAAAUGAUAAGAAAAGAAAUCCAGGAUGCGAUCCGUUGCGAAAUGAGCACAGUCAACGAAUCCUAUAUGUCGAAGUUUGAGAGCACACCCUGUCAUCAGAAGCAGAGCACAAAUUCGCGGUCGACGGUUCGUGCGAUGAAUCCGUUGUUGAAGCGAUUGAAAGAGCAAUCCAGAGUUGCUGCGGAUGAUUCGCUCGGGGAGGGAGGGUUGGACAGCACGGUAGUGAUGAACACUAAAACCCCGCGUCGUUGGGAAGUGAUCAAUGUUGACAGCGAUGAAGAGGCCGGCGACGAGAGUCUUGUGGUUGUGAGGAGGAAACAAACGAAGGCUUUCUCAGUGAAACGACAGCCUUUCGGGGAAAUAAUCAACGAGUGUAUAACGCAUCCAACUCCUGCGGCGAAGAAUGUUCAAAUAGCAACCGAUGAGAGUUACCUCUGGGAUGUCCAAAAUGGCCAAGCGCGUCGACGGAGUACGAGAAUCUCGCUGAGAAUCCAACAGAAAAAAGUUUGCUGUCAAUCGGCUAAGAAGAAACAACGGUUCGAAGCUUUGGUGGAAGAUGAAAAGGAAAACGUUGUUAGCAAACCAUCAAGAAAGGCAAAGAAUGCACUGACGAUUAGCAAUAAAGUGAUCGCUGGUUACUUCCAGACGCCUGGCGGUAGCAAGAAAGAUCCAAAAAUGACCGCCAACAAGCACGGCAAAGCCGUUCUUGAUCUCGUCAAUCGGGGAAGUAUUAAGGAGGUGCGAAUUUUGCCCACCGUUGGGCUGAAGAUGGCGUAUCAAAUCGUCACUCAUCGCACCAUUAACGGAAAGUUCAAAAAGAUUGACGAUCUGGCUAAGCUUUUCGUCGGAGGCAAAAAGUGGACCAAGUUUCUCGAGGCGAAUUAUCUUUCCUAAAGCAUUGGAGAUGGCUGAACGAUUGGCAAAAGCAUGAAAUAGAAUCGUACGUGGUACGUAUUUAUCGGCACAAUCUGAUCAAGGACGGAGGCAUCAUCAAACGGAAACUACGCGAGAAACUUUUCGAAGAGAUAAAACUGCGCCGCAAGACUCGUGUCAAAAUGGACGAGUUGGGCUGGGUGCUGAUGAACCACGAUUUGAUAACACGUAAUGAGCCAAUCCAACAGCAUGCCAAUGGUAAUCGACCAAAUCAUUUUAAAUUCAACAUGGAGCGGUUACAAACCUACUGGAGCAGCACGAACAGAACAAUCACGCUGUUGACUUCCAAAAAGUAAAACAAAUUCCUGCGUAUGCUGGAUGCAAUUUUACAAAACGACAACGUUUUGAAGGAAAUUAAAGAGAUGGUAGUGGCGAAUCGAAUUCUAUCAGAAAUUCGUUAUGUGGCUACGGUGGAACGUAUGCUGAAACAUAAUUUGGACCCCUCUUUGCGCUGCUGCUUUGUAUGCCGAGAGUACUUCCGCACACGUGAUACUUCCUAUUGGAGUGUAACUGACCAUUGAUCAGCGACGCCCCCUAGUCUGUACCUCAUAUCAAUCGUGGUGCGUCCUGUGUAUCUGUAAAGAGUAUGUGUAUGUUUAAUUACAUUACAUGGAGCGGUUAUAAUAUAUAAUAUAAAUACCUUAUUGCAGCUAUAGUACACUAUUUUUCACGAAUAUAUAUUUGUUUAUUUCUUCCUUCAGUUGUUUUCCUCAGCGAGUUGAUAUGAAACCAUAACCACACAACCAAACAAAAAGUAAAUAAUUCAGAAAGCUACGUCUCGCUACUC